CCUACGGGAGGCAGCAGUGGGGAAUAUUGGACAAUGGGCGAAAGCCUGAUCCAGCCAUGCCGCGUGUGUGAAGAAGGCCUUCGGGUUGUAAAGCACUUUCAGUGGGGAAGAAAGCCUUGGGGCUAAUACCCUCGAGGAAGGACAUCACCCACAGAAGAAGCACCGGCUAACUCCGUGCCAGCAGCCGCGGUAAUACGGAGGGUGCGGGCGUUAAUCGGAAUUACUGGGCGUAAAGCGCGCGUAGGCGGUCUGAUAAGCCGGUUGUGAAAGCCCCGGGCUCAACCUGGGAACGGCAUCCGGAACUGUCAGGCUAGAGUGCAGGAGAGGAAGGUAGAAUUCCCGGUGUAGCGGUGAAAUGCGUAGAGAUCGGGAGGAAUACCAGUGGCGAAGGCGGCCUUCUGGACUGACACUGACGCUGAGGUGCGAAAGCGUGGGUAGCAAACAGGAUUAGAUACCCCGGUAGUC
rnacentral:rRNA from 1 species